rnacentral:rRNA from 1 species
AGUGAACGCUGGCGGUAGGCCUAACACAUGCAAGUCGAACGGCAGCACAGUAAGAGCUUGCUCUUACGGGUGGCGAGUGGCGGACGGGUGAGGAAUACAUCGGAAUCUACUUUUUCGUGAGGGAUAACGUAGGGAAACUUACGCUAAUACCGCAUACGACCUACGGGUGAAAGCAGGGGAUCUUCGGACCUUGCGCGAUUGAAUGAGCCGAUGUCGGAUUAGCUAGUUGGCGGGGUAAAGGCCCACCAAGGCGACGAUCCGUAGCUGGUCUGAGAGGAUGAUCAGCCACACUGGAACUGAGACACGGUCCAGACUCCUACGGGAGGCAGCAGUGGGGAACAUUGGACAAUGGGCGCAAGCCUGAUCCAGCCAUACCGCGUGGGUGAAGAAGGCCUUCGGGUUGUAAAGCCCUUUUGUUGGGAAAGAAAAGCAGCAGGUUAAUACCCCGCUGUUCUGACGGUACCCAAAGAAUAAGCACCGGCUAACUUCGUG